rnacentral:tmRNA from 1 species
UGUCUUGUGUUUUUUAAAUUUCGCCUUUAUAAUUACUUUACCGCGCAAGCGGCGAUGAUUCUGAAUCCGUUGUGAAAUAGUCGUUUUGGACUGGGGGGCGGUACCCCACAGCUCCACCAUUAAAACCGCCGGCGGCGAUUUUAAUGGUGGAGUGAGAGUUGCGCGCGGCACAGCCGCGCAGAGUCGGAGAGUUAAAAGAGUAUAAACCUCUGCAAAUCUCUAACUCUUCAACUCUGAUUUUGCGAAAGCAAAAUCUACGCUCUGCGCGCAAAGCGCGCCAUUUGGGGCUGACAUAGAUUCGACAGGCGAUGAAAGACAAAUUGGGUGAAUUCGACAUGGCGUCGUAAAAAGCCGAAUAAAAACUGAAUGGCGAUAAAAUCGCUGCGAACGACAACGUUCGCGUUGCAUUGGCUGCUUAACCAAGCACCGGAUUCGGCCGGCAAUUGUUGGCUGAAUCCAAUUUAAGCCUAUGCGGGGUCCGCCGCGAACCUGUCACAACAAUCGCGGCGCU